rnacentral:miRNA from 1 species
AACCACAACAGUCUGUUUCAUCCGUAUAGGAAUCAUCAGGUGGUAUAGGAAUCACCACCUGAUGAUUCCUAUACGGCUGAAACAGACUGU